UACGUAGGGUGCGAGCGUUGUCCGGAAUUACUGGGCGUAAAGAGCUCGUAGGUGGUUUGUCGCGUUGUUCGUGAAAACCGGGGGCUUAACCCUCGGCGUGCGGGCGAUACGGGCAGACUUGAGUACUGCAGGGGAGACUGGAAUUCCUGGUGUAGCGGUGGAAUGCGCAGAUAUCAGGAGGAACACCGGUGGCGAAGGCGGGUCUCUGGGCAGUAACUGGCGCUGAGGAGCGAAAGCGUGGGGAGCGAACAGG
rnacentral:rRNA from 1 species